rnacentral:rRNA from 1 species
GAUGAACGCUGGCGGCGUGCUUAAUACAUGCAAGUCGAGCGAAGCGGGGACGGGUGUGAAACACGUGGAUACCCCCCUAUACGACUGGGCUAACCUCGGGAAACUGGAGCUAUACCGGAUACUUAUAGAUGGAUCCGCGCUGCAUUAGCUAGUUGGUAAGGUAACGGCUUACCAAGGCAACGAUGCAUAGCCGACCUGGGAGGGUGAUCGGCCAAACUGUAACGGAAACACGGUCCAGACUCCUACGGGAGGCAGCAGUGUGGAAUCUUCCGCAAUGGGCGAAAUCCAGACGUAGCAACGACGCGUGGUUGAUGAAGGUCGUCGGAUAGAAAAACUCUGGAAUUAGGGAAGCGGUGCCUAAUCGGAAAGCCACGGCUAACUACGUGCCAGCAGCCGCGGUAAUAC